GGAUUGUAUUAAAGGAAAGAAGGUUGGCACUCCCCUUGAUAAGUCAGGAAGAGGUCCUAGUGAUUUUU
ensembl:snRNA